rnacentral:lncRNA from 1 species
UUUUUUUGUUUUGGGCGUGACGCGCUUCAGCAUGUGUAUAGGGAGUGGCCGACGAGCCGCUUCGGGGCUGUUCAAACUCUAAACCCUGAAAACCCAGCCCCCACCCCCUAAGGACACGGCGCGGACCCUAAAGAUACAGCACGCCGCUUGUUACUCGCGCGUCAGCGGCAACGUGAGCGCGCAUCUUGCUCAAGUAAAAAAAACGCUCCUGUCAGCGCGUGGCGCGCUUCAGGAUCUAUAUGGGUACAUUAACUCAAGGAUGGUCGUUCCCGCCCCUGGGCCAAAAAAAAAAAUUCUCAACACAGAUUGAAAAUAGACCAUCGUAUAAACAUCCACAACACUCACAACUAAAACCUACGAAGGUAUCCGUCACUACAGAUAGAGACAUAUCUGUCGCAUAUAUAUCAUAAGUCACAUCUAUCUGUCACCAAUUGCUGCUGACCUGUAAGACCUCGGGCGUACGAAGCACACAAGUUUUGUUCAUUUGGAUUAUUUAAAUAUUUUAUUAAAAGCUUAUUUAUUACCUUCGAAGGUAAUAUUAUGUACAGUACGUGUAUGUAGCUAGCUAGGUCGUUAUUACCACUGACAUCCACUGACCCCUGAAAAAAUAAUGAGAAAAUAGUUCAAUAGAAUGCAAGCUGAAAGAUAACCUAAAAUUUACCAUAAUUUAUAUUUGGAUAUUUUAUUGACUUUCUUUUGUUGGGCUGUACUACUGUAUAUUCCACUAUCAUAUCAUAUCAUAGAAGGUAUGUAGACUACGUAUCAGUCAUCACGUAUCUAUCAUAUGAUUAUGACUCAUGAUCAUUAUUUUAUGACAACGGAAAUGAAAGUAGUACUUUCCCAGGUACCUUCGUACCUUCGUAUGUUAUAUGUUUUCACGUGUUUUCAAAGUAUGGAUAUGUUUGAAGUAUGUUUCAAGUAUCCAUAUGUUUCAAGUAAGUAUGAUAAUAAGAGUGUAAUAAGUAUGUUUCAAGUGUGUUUUUCAUAUGUUUCACGUGUUUUCAAAGUGUUUUUCAAAUGUUUUUUUUGUGGGGGGCGGGGCGGGUCCGGCGAUUGGGACGAAUGGCGGCGGCGUCGGCGGGAUGUUUACCCCGCCCGGCCCGCCGCUCGCGCUGCUGAACCUCACGUACAUCGCGCACGACAUCGCGAACGGGCUCAAGGUGGCGAGGGCCACCGAGCUCACCUCUGUGACCCCCCUCGCGGCUCAAGGUGGCGGCGCCGCGCGUGACUUUGAAAAUACUUUGAAAACACGUGAAACAUACUUGAAAACAUACUUGAUUGAAACAUACUUGGAAACUGACUUCUUUCAUUUCGUG